rnacentral:rRNA from 1 species
GACGAACGCUGGCGGCGUGCUUAACACAUGCAAGUCGAACGGAAAGGCCCUGCUUUUGUGGGGUGCUCGAGUGGCGAACGGGUGAGUAACACGUGAGUAACCUGCCCUUGACUUUGGGAUAACUUCAGGAAACUGGGGCUAAUACCGGAUAGGAGAUCCUGCUGCACGGUGGGGGUUGGAAAGUUUCGGCGGUCGGGGAUGGACUCGAGGCUUAUCAGCUUGUUGGUGGGGUAGGGGCUUACCAAGGCUUUGACGGGUAGCCGGCCUGAGAGGGUGACCGGCCACAAUGGGCCUGAGCUGCGGCACAGACUCCUACGAGAGGCGACAGUGGGGAAUCUUGCACAAUGGUCGGAAGCCUGAUGCAGCAACGCCGCGUCCGGGAUGACGGCCUUCGGGUUGUAACCCGCUUUCGCCUGUGACGAAGCGUGAGUGACGGUACUGGGUAAAGAAGCACCGGCUAACUACGUG